AAGUCGUAACAAGGUAACCGUAGGUGAACCUGCGGUUGGAUCAUUAAAAAGAUCGUAAGUCAGGAAUGUUUCUUAACAGGAGCACCCUGCAAACUCUCCGUAACAGGCGAGUCUAAACUAAUCCACAUUUUGUGAACCGUUCUCGUCUCUGGCGGUGGGGUGGCGUCAAAAACCACCUGUCAGCAUCGAGAUAGAGCUCUGCAAUGGAGAUCUAUCUGGGUGCCAUGGACAAGCCGUCAAACACUUGUGACAAACCUUUUACUUUUCUAUGUGUCUAACCUUUGUAUAUUAAACAAUACAAAAACAACUUUUGGCAACGGAUCUCUUGGCUCUC
rnacentral:misc_RNA from 1 species